rnacentral:rRNA from 1 species
UACAGAGGUCUCAAGCGUUGUUCGGAUUCAUUGGGCAUAAAGGGCGCGUAGGCGGGAUGGCAAGUCGGUCGUGAAAUCUCUCGGCUCAACCUCGAGACGUCGGCGGAAACCAUCUGGCUAGAGUCCGGAAGAGGAGAGUGGAAUUCCUGGUGUAGCGGUGAAAUGCGCAGAUAUCAGGAAGAACACCCGUGGCGAAGGCGGCUCUCUGGGACGGUACUGACGCUGAGACGCGAAAGCGUGGGGAGCGAACAGG